UACGGAGGGUGCGAGCGUUGUCCGGAAUCAUUGGGCGUAAAGGGCGCGUAGGUGGCCCGGUCAGUUCGUGGUGAAAGCGCGGGGCUCAACCCUGCGUCGGCCAUGAAUACUGCCGCGGCUGGAGCACUGUAGAGGCAGGCGGAAUUCCGGGUGUAGCGGUGGAAUGCGUAGAGAUCCGGAAGAACACCGGUGGCGAAGGCGGCCUGCUGGGCAGUUGCUGACACUGAGGCGCGACAGCGUGGGGGAGCAAACAGG
rnacentral:rRNA from 1 species